AUGUCCGAUGCGUCAAAACUUCGCAGUAACAACUUACUAUAAUAAUUUAUAGUAACAGCUGCAGUAAUAGCCAAUGGGUAUUUAUACAUUUUUUUGAUUGGUACUCGGUACGACGACAUAAUAUUGAGUACUGGCAGUACGAGACUUACCUACGUAUGAUACGGUUACCUAAUACCAGUUAUACCUAUACUAUGAAUAUUUAAUAUAUACAAUAGCAGAUAAUGAUACAAAUCGGAUUAAAUAAUAUCGAAUAGUGUAAUUUUAUUAUUUUACAAAAAUAUGAAAAACAUUUCCAAAACUUAUUUACGAUUUGAAACGGUGUUCAUAAAAAUCUUAUCUCUUACUUUUCUUAAAAGAACUAAAUAAAUUAAAAAUAUUUUCAAGCAAUUUUCUCAUUUUUCAAAUUUUCUUUUCUUCAUCGAAGCAAACUCGACAAUUACAGCAGAUAAGAUAAUAGGUACUAUGCAAUAAAUACCUAUAUAAUAUACCAUAUUAAAUUAUUGAAUUAUUUCAAAUAGUAUUUGAGCCUUACUAAUUUACUAUACUACGUACUAUGUGACUAUCUCUUCAUUUUAGAUUAUUCAUUCUGAGCGAAGUAAUGCAUAUGAUGAUUUUACAAUGAUGUGUAUUUUUUGUGUCCUGCAUUGCUUUUUUAUUUUUGGGGUAGUAACAUUUUUUGGACAUUACAGCAACCUUUUUUAGUAGGAAAGCGAAUCUAGUUCGUGAUUUUUUGGGGUAAAAAUUAGAAAUUCUCAUUAAUUGUUUGGAAUAAUCCACACUUCAGCUCAUAUACACAAAAUAUGCAUAUAUCAGAGUAUAUCAGCAUAUAUCCGUAACUAUACGUAAUUAUUGUUUAUUGUUUAAUGAUUCAUGAAUAUUUCUUAUAAGUUUCAAACUUGUAUUUAGUCUACAAUAAUCAUUUGUCGGGUUUUUGAUUUCACCGUUUUCGUGAAAUUGACUUAAGAGUUAAGAGGACGCUACACUCGCAUGUGUUGUCUGGUUGUCUCCAUAGACCUUUAGGUACUAUUAUACAAGCAAUGAGUGCAUAGAAAGCGAACAACAAAGAGGGCGCUUUUUUAUUUCUCGAUUACUCGUACGCACGACCAGUGAGGGGUAGCAGGGUAAGAUAUAUAUAUAUAGAUUAUUGUAUUUUUUCUUAAAGACAGCCUAUAUCACUGCAAGCUGUUAAUUGUUAAACAUCACAGUCCUUGCCUAGUAGAAAGUAGUAAAAAGGUAUAAUGGUUGUCUCCGACUUACAAAUAUACAACAUAUCAAAAACUGUUUUGAGCGGGAAAGAACCGAGUAGGCUACAGUCAUAAGUCAUAACUUAUAACUAAGAAACGAAAUGUUUAUCACAUAAAGAGAAGAACUUUGGCUGUGAAAUAUUGUUUUUAUUUUUUCGAUAUUGGAACUACAAAAAAGUUAUCUAAGUCUGAAAAACACAAAAAUAAUGGAUUUUAAAACAAUAAGAACUUUUUCCGUACAGGUGAUAUCAAAAUAAUGAAAAUGAUAUUUCAGAGAUAAUAUUCUCAACUAUAUUGUGUAUCAAUUUGGAGUCUUAGCUAUCAUUACAGACUACAGCCCGAGUGGUCCUAACCCGCCCAAAACAGUUUUUGCUAUGUUGUACAAUUUACAUUUGUAAGACAGGUACAAGACUUGCGGGUGUAGCGUUCUUUCAUAAAAUAAUAAUAUAUCACUGUAUAACAUAAUUUUCCGCCACUGCACCACCCGAGUUCACCGAGAGCCGGUCUUAUACUAAUAGAAGGUCUAUAGUGAUAGUUGUAGUUAUACAACUAGCCAUUGUUUCUAUGUCUUGUAUAACAAAUAAAAAUAUAAAAUCUGCAAUAUAGAUGUAUGUAUCUUAACUAUUAUAUUGUUUUUGGAUCGUUUCGAAUGUUUCGAUACAGGACAUUAUAGGCAGUAGGCCUACUACUUACUCAGUGGGUGAAUUAUUUCAUUACUGAGGGUCCAACUAGUUUAGAAUGGGUGUUCAAUUGUUCAUUUGGACGCAGAAAACUUAAGACAACAUCUUAAAUUCAAAUUUUUAACAAGCAUAAUUAAAAAAUGACCUAAUAGGAUAUUCAAUAGUAAUUUUCAGGGUUAGUGUAUGUUUAAAACGUGUUUUUAAGUCUCAAACGUUGAAACGAGUUUUUAUUUCGAUCAUUCUUGUUAGUUAUUUCCAACCAAACCUAUUGAGUAUCAGUUAUUAAUUUAUUACAUACUAUAUAGAUAGAGUAUUAUUAUUUACAAUACAUAUUAUGUACAAAUAAUUUAUAUACUUUUUUGACCACCAUAAUAUUAUGAUUUAUAAUAUUUAUGGGUAACACUAAAACAGGACAUAUUGGUAUUGGAAAAAAAGAAAAAUGGAGAACCCAUAGCUAGUUAUAGGAAAUUACUGCCAAAUGCCCUUGUAGUCAGGUUAUAAGGUAGUGGCGGGAAAAUAAAUAUGCACCAAGUGAUCAAAAUGUAUGUCAAUAAAUAAUUUACUAUACAGCAAGCAAAAAAUAAAUAGUAAAUGAGGUGACUUGUAGGAAAAUUAGAAGAAAUUAAAAACACAAUAUACUUCACAAUACUUACUCGCCUGCACUAGCUGUAGACCUAAAGUAUAUUUAAUACGUGUAUGUUCACUAUAUGCUGUAAUACAAUAUGUCAAUAUUAUUAACAUACGACAUACCUAUAACCUAUGUAGAAUAUUACAACCUAGUAAGUAGUAACCCACUACCAUUUAGGUACUAAUACCUAAUUAAUUUAAAACUUAAUCAUAAACGGUCUGAUGGAUGCACAUUAAAUUUCGACUUGUUUAAUUUGACACAUUCAAGUAGAUAUUAUUAUCAUUAACUUUAUAAAACGAUAAUACUGAAAAAUUCCGCGUUCAUCAUAACGUUUAUCUUUAUUGCUUCUGCCUGUUUGUAACGUUAAAUGUUUAUCAUAAUCAUCAUAAUAUAUUAUUAUAUUAAUAUGACAUAAUAUAGAUACAUGAUAAUAUGAUACAUAUUAUACAAUGUGACCCGUGAAGAAGUGGUUGGCAUCAUAUUAUGAUGGUGUACCUAGAAGUUUAGAAAAAAAAACCCUUUAAAGUGUUUGUUUAAAAUUUUUAUUUUUUUUUUGUUAUGACUUCAUAAUCAAUUCAACUAAUUUUUAACAAAACCGAACCUACCACACAUUUACUGAUGUAUCUUCAAAACUUUUCAGCUUUUCGUCAUUUACUUUUUAUUUUAAAGCUUUUUUAGUAUGUUAUCAACUAACCAUCAAACCAAAAAUGUACAAAUUAUCAUUAUUGAAUUAGAUAACCUUAAACAUAUCGUUUUCCUAUCCUAUACAUGUUAUUUCUUAGUGACUACAUCAUGCCUUAUCUAAGCUCGUUGUCUAGUAAUUAUUGUCCAUUGAUAAUUACCAUCACGAAUGUCAUGUCACGUUAAGGUUUACCAGUGUCUAGUAGUGUACUAGUAUCACUCGGAAAUUGUGAAAGGUUCGGUGCACACGUCUGUUGUAGCCCCUGCGGCGCCGAAAGUGGCUGAAUGCAAAUAAUGUGUGCACCUCACCGAUGCAACGUCACCGCAAGAGAUGUGCACUGCACAAUUAAACAAUUUGAUCACAUAUUAAUAUAUUAUCCAG